AGGAAGGUGGGGAUGACGUCAGAUCUGCGUGUCUCUUACGCCUGGGGCAACACCCAUGCUACAAUGGCCGGUACAAAGGGCAGCAAACCCGCGAGGGAAAGCCAAUCCCAGAAAACCGGUCUCAGUUCGGAUUGAAGUCUGCAACUCGACUUCAUGAAGUUGGAAUCGCUAGUAACCGUGGAUCAGCUACGCCACGGUGAAUAUGUUCCUGGGUCUUGUACUCACCGCCCGUCAAGUCAUGAAAGGCAGGAGCACCCGAAGGACCGUUACCCUUACGGGGCGGUACCACGGUGAAACUGCUGAUUGGGACUAAGUCGUAACAAGGUAUCCGUAGGAGAACCUGCGGAUGGAAUAUUUCCUUA
rnacentral:ncRNA from 1 species